UUAUAUGUCAGGUUUUUGAACUGUGUUUGUAUUAUGUUGCUGAAUAGAUAUUGUGAAGUAAUAUUUAUUUAUAUUUGUCUCUCAUUUCUUGUACAGAAAAAGUAGAAGCUCUUAAAAAAACUGUUGUGACGGGCGUGACAGAUAAUGAAGUGUGUUUGAAAGGAGAAUUGACUGGUAUUCAAUGGGAUCUGACUGAAUGUGUUGAAAUAACGGAGCAAAACUCUUGUGCAUCCACACACACCGUUGUACUGGACACAUGUAACUACACAAUGAAUGUUGAUCUGCCCCCAGUCAAGCCGCACAUAAACUUCAAGAAAACUAUUCCCUCUCAGUUUGAAUGGAUGAAUAAACCAGAACAAUGUAAUGCUGCACUGCUUAUCAUCAACUGCAUCAAUAAUGAGAA